AGUGAACGCUGGCGGUAGGCCUAACACAUGCAAGUCGAACGGCAGCACAGUAAGAGCUUGCUCUUACGGGUGGCGAGUGGCGGACGGGUGAGGAAUACAUCGGAAUCUACUUUUUCGUGGGGGAUAACGUAGGGAAACUUACGCUAAUACCGCAUACGACCUACGGGUGAAAGCAGGGGAUCUUCGGACCUUGCGCGAUUGAAUGAGCCGAUGUCGGAUUAGCUAGUUGGCGGGGUAAAGGCCCACCAAGGCGACGAUCCGUAGCUGGUCUGAGAGGAUGAUCAGCCAACAGGGAACUGAGACACGGUCCAGACUCCUACGGGAGGCAGCAGUGGGGAAUAUUGGACAAUGGGCGCAAGCCUGAUCCAGCCAUACCGCGUGGGUGAAGAAGGCCUUCGGGUUGUAAAGCCCUUUUGUUGGGAAAGAAAAGCAGCAGGUUAAUACCCCGCUGUUCUGACGGUACCCAAAGAAUAAGCACCGGCUAACUUCGUG
rnacentral:rRNA from 1 species